GGGCCUGUAGCUCAGGUGGUUAGAGCACACGCCUGAUAAGCGUGAGGUCGAUCGUUCGAGUCGAUCCAGGCCCACCA
rnacentral:tRNA from 1 species